UGAGGAAUCUUGCGCAAUGGGGGCAACCCUGACGCAGCAACGCCGCGUGGGUGAAGAAGGCCUUCGGGUCGUAAAGCUCUGUCAAGUGGGAAGAAUAGCCUUAAGGGGAAUAUCCUUGGGGUAUGACGGUACCACUGGAGGAAGCACCGGCUAACUCCGUGCCAGCAGCCGCGGUAAUACGUAGGGGGCAAGCGUUGUCCGGAUUUACUGGGUGUAAAGGGUGCUCAGGCGGGUUUGUAAGUCAGUGGUGAAAUCCCGGGGCUUAACUCCGGAACUGCCAUAGAAACUGCAGGCCUAGAGUACGGAAGAGGUUGAUGGAAUAUCUGGUGUAGCAGUGAAAUGCGUAGAUAUCAGAUAGAACACCAAUGGCGAAGGCAGUCAACUGGUCCGUUACUGACGCUA
rnacentral:rRNA from 1 species